rnacentral:lncRNA from 1 species
GUCAGUGACUUGGGAACCCAGGAAAUGUGAUGCUCGCCCCCCACCCCUACCCUAGGGAGAUAGUCUGGCUGCUAACAAGCUGUAAGGCCUCCGCUUUAUGGACUGUAUUUCUGCCCUGCUGUCUGCUACCCCUCCUGCCAAUUACUGUACAUGAAUGUAUCCAUAUGAUCCUGGUGCGAUGCAAGCAAAUGAGUUUGACUCAUCUGAUGAAGAGCCUAUUCAAGAUGAUCAGAUACCAUUUCAGAUAUCAUGGUUAGCCCUGUCAUCUGUCUAUUGUUCUCAGUUUCUGGGAGUAUGUUCUCUGCCAGGUAUGUAGCACUGGUUUUAGAAAUUUAGUAGAAAGCAUGGUUAAAGCUAGGAGGAAAUUAUGCUGUCUCCAAAGAUCUCUCUAAACCUUACUCGCUUAGUGGAGUGAUACACAUGUCUUCUGAGCACACAAUAUUGGAAAGAGUGGAGGUAUCAGAUCUCUUGGUUUGAUGCCUGAGACUGUUUUGCCUAAUCCAGAAGAAGUGAUGAAAGGUAACUGCUGACAACCUAGUAUGCUUUCCAAAUUGGAGUACAUUUUAUGAUUGUAAAUGGCAAUGCAAGCCCAUGAAAUGGGACAACUCUGACAAAGCUAAAUUUUUCCACUAUAAGGAAUGUCAAACUAAAGAUCGCAUCUGAAAAAUCCUACACUGUUACAUUCUAAAAAUGUAAAAUAUUAGUAAAGUAUUUCAUGUGUUUUAACCACUUGUGUUUUUUAGUGCUUGUAUUUCACCCAGUUUGGAAUCAAUUAUCACUGUCUCAUUCUCAUGCACUAGCAUUCUGUUGUAAUGUUGGGUUGCAAAUGCCAAAAUGGGUAUUUAAUUCCAAACAGAAUUUCAUUGACACUUUAAACACAUGUGUUUAACACUUUUUUUANUAUUUGGUUGAUGCAGACUUGACACGGCAGAAGCACAAGUCAUAAAAACACACUAUUCUGAAU